UGCCACCGACAUGGGCCUGGUUGUGAAGGCCGGACUCUAUCGUCCAAGCCCAUCACAGCCCAGAAAGCCCAUAUCAGCACAGGACCGGCCCAUGUCGGACUCCCUUUGCCCUUAGGUCUUCGGACUCUACCUCUGCUGCGGCGGUGGCAGCGAGGCGAAUCCGGCGACGGCGCGAAUUCCGGCGAGGUAUUCGCCGCGUUGCCAUGGGGAAGAUGCUGGAUCCGAAGCGUCUCAUGUCUGCGCGACAGGAGCGGCAUCGCCGUCGGCGGCGACGGCAACUCCGACCCCGCAGGCUCAUUCUGUCACCACGUUGCAGAUUCUGAAGGCGCCAAAAGAACAAGAUAUUCAGUGCCUAGCCUUCCAGAGGAAAUCUGGUGCCAUAUACACUCCCUAAUGUCAUUCAAAGAUGCUGCUCGUGCAGCAUGCGUGUCUCGUGCUUUUCGUCAUUCCUGGCGAUGCCAUCCCAAUCUUAUAUGUUGUAUUGGAAUACUGGGCUCGGAUUUCAUCAACAAAUUUGACCGCAUUAUGAAAAAUCACUCAGGAAUUGGCAUCAAGUCGGUAAAGUUUCAAUAUAAUAGUUUUUACAAUACUAGAAGGAGCACUAGCAUCAGCCAUCAUUUCGAUAGUUGGCAUCAGAUUGCUAUUACACCGUGGAUCGAAGAACUCACCAUUAGCCUAUCUCUAUCUUCAUUCAAUAUGGAGUACAGCUUCCCAUGCUCACUUCUAGCUGAUGGGAGAGCAAGCUCAAUGCGGCAUCUUUAUCUUGGCAAUUGUGGAUUCCAUCCCACAAUCAACCUUGACUUGAGAAACCUGACAAGGCUGCAUCUGAUUAAUGUACAUAUUACAGGAGAUGAGUUAGGGUGCCUUCUCUCAAAUUCUCAUUGUUUGGAGCAGUUAGAACUUAUGUAUUGCAAUGGAAUAAUUUGUCUGAAGAUACCUUCCCUGUUGCAGUGCCUCAGUCACCUAGAAGUGUUUGAUUGCAGAAUUCUUCAAGUACAACUCUUGCUUGGCGAAUCGUUGCGAAUGAAGAGACUAUCCUUGCACUACCCCGAUGCUAUGUAUUAUGCUCAUGCAAAGCUUCCAUCCAAUGCGCCAAAUCUUGAAACUCUCGCCCUCGAAUGCUCGACUGACAAGAUGGUUGAUACACCAAUAUUGCCUAGCAAAUUCUUCCAUCUCAAGUGCUUGACCAUUGAUCAUACCAUUAUCUCAUCUUCCCCAGCUUAUAAUUAUCUUUACCUGGUUUAUUUUCUCGACGCUUGCCCUUCCUUGGAGACUUUCCUUUUGGGUAUAUCGCAGAACCACAUGGAGCAUGACUCGAUUAUUGGAGAUUCCUCACAUAUGAGGCAAAUGCCAGGACACCGUCAUGACAACCUCCGGAGUGUGGAGAUCACCGGUUUCUACUCUGCAAAGAGCUUGAUCGAGCUAACAUGUUAUAUUCUUGACAAUACAGUUGCACUCAAGUACCUUACACUGGAUACAACUCGUGGUUUUUUCAGCUGUUCUACAGGUGAACACGACAGAUGCUUUCCUAUGGACAAAAUCAUGAUAACGGAAGCCAACAGGGCAGUCCUGGCUAUCCAAAACAUACAUCGAGCGAAAAGUUCCUUCCACGCCUUGCCUCGCUGCUCGCCGCCGCCUCGCCCACGCCGCUGCCGCGCCCGACCGCCGCCACCCGUUGGUGAAGAGGCGGCGCUGGCGGUUGCGGACGGUGACGGCGCGGCCCUCGGCGAGGACGUGGGGGAGGUAGGCGUUCUCGACGAGGUGGUGGAAGGUGUGGCGGUGGUGGAAGACGGUUCGAUUGAUUCAGCGGCUAAAAGAAAGGGAUCACUCUGUCAACAAGUUGCAAAUUCUGAAGGCAACAAAAAAACAAGAUAUUCAAGGCUAGACCUUCCAGAGGAAAUCUGGUGCCAUAUACACUCCCUAAUGGCAUUCAAAGAUGCCGCCCGUGCUACAUGUGUGUCUCGUGCUUUUCAUCGUUCCUGGCAAUGCCAUCCCAAUCUUAUAUUUUGUAUUGGAAUACUGGGCUCGAAUUUCAUCAACAAAUUUGAUCGCAUUGUGAAAAAACACUCAGGCAUUGGCAUCAAGUCGGUAAACUUUGAAUAUGAUAGUUCUUACAAUACUAGAAGGAGCACUAGCAUCAGCCAUCAUUUUGAUAGUUGGCUUCAUAUUGCUAUUACACCAUGGAUCGAAAAACUCUCCCUUAGGCUAUCUCAUUAUUCAUACAAUGUGGAGUACAACUUACCAUGCACAAUUCUGUCUGAUGGGAGAGCAAGCUCAAUGCGACAUCUUUAUCUUGGCAGUUGUAGCUUCCAUCCCACAAUCAACCUUGACUUGAGAAGCCUGAUGAAGUUGCAUCUGUUUAAUGUCCAUAUUACAGGAGAUGAGUUAGGGUGCCUUCUCUUCAGUUGUUAUGCUUUGGAGUGGUUGGAACUUGAGCAUUGUGAUGAAAUAGUUUGCAUGAAGGUACCUUGUCAGUUGCAACGCCUCAAUCACCUGAAAGUGUUUGAAUGCAGAAUGCUGCAAGUAAUAGAGAAUAAGGCUCCAAAUAUUUGCAGUUUUGAUUUUGGAGGUAAACACGUACAACUCUUGCUUGGUGAAUCGUUGCAGAUGAAGACACUAUCUUUGCAAUACUAUUGCAACGCUGUCUAUUAUGCUCGUGUAGAGUCUAUACCCAAUGUGCCAAAUCUUGAAACUCUCACCAUUUGCUCGUAUCACGAGAUGGUUAACACACCAAUGUUGCCUAGCAAAUUCCUCCAUCUCAAGUGUUUUGACUAUCGAUCUUGCUGAAGUUUCCCAUGCAUAUGAUUAUUUCUCUCUAGUUUCUUUUCUUGAUGCUUCUCCUUUCUUGGAGACUUUACUUCUGGGUGUAAGAUAAUUUUCAUUCUGCAAAGUUAUCUAGUGUCUAUGGUAGUAACCAUCAAUUAAAGUAUAUUUGGCUUUUCAUCUCCAGAUACCAAAGGACAGCAUGGAGGAUGACUCAAUUUUUGGAGAUUCCUCAAAUAUGAGGCAGAUGCAAGAAUAUCGUCAUGACAACCUCCAGAGUGUGGUGAUCACUUGUUUCUGCUCCGCGAAGAGCUUGAUCGAGCUAACAUGUUGUAUUCUUGACUGUACAACGUCACUUGAGUACCUUACACUGGAUACUACUCGUGGUGUUUAUAGCUGUUCUACAGGUAAACACAGCCAAUGCUUUCCUAUGGACAAGGCCAUGAUCCCUAAAGCCAACAGGGCUAUGUUGGCUAUCGAAACAUACAUUGAACGAAAAGUUCCUUCCACAGUUAAGCUAAAUGUUGUGAAACCUUGCCCCCGUUGCCAUAUAAGUGAAUCUUAGUUGUAAUUCUUUUUU
rnacentral:lncRNA from 1 species